GAUGAACGCUAGCGACAGGCUUAACACAUGCAAGUCGAGGGGCAGCGGGUAGAUGAGCUUGCUCAUUUAUGCCGGCGACCGGCGCACGGGUGAGUAACACGUAUGCAACCUGCCCGUCUCAGGGGGAUAAUCGUCGGAAACGGCGUCUAAUACCCCGUAUGAAGCUGGACGGCAUCGUCUGGUUUUGAAAGAAUAUCGGAGACGGAUGGGCAUGCGGCGCAUUAGCUGGUUGGCGGGGUAACGGCCCACCAAGGCGACGAUGCGUAGGGGUUCUGAGAGGAAGGUCCCCCACAUUGGAACUGAGACACGGUCCAA
rnacentral:rRNA from 1 species